UAAGGACACACAAGUCUGCUUGUGUGAAGAGGUGGUUUUCUCAGCUUCUUCUGAAGAGAGGGGAAGAUAGUUUAAGGCAAGUAAACUUCAUAAUUUCAUGUUAUCAGUUGUUGUUGUUGUUUUUUACUAAGAGUAAAAUAAUGUUUGUUUUUUGUUUUUGUAGAUGUUAAAAGCCAGAGACAUGGGAGAGCAUCAUUCUUUUGAGAUUUUAUAACUCAAACCAACUUUGGAGUUGUCUUGUCUGAUUUGGAGAGUCAUCAUUCUUGGUCUUCCCUCUUAAAGGCCACUGAUGAAGAACAGGUGGUGACUGGAUGAAUGCUGAUCAAAGAAGAGAACGUCCUUUCCCCUAAACUGAUGCAGUAGUGGUAUUAAAGGAGGACGCUGCCCUGGAUGAUGUAGAAGAUGUCACAUGUGCUGAUGGGGCUUCUUCAUGACUACGUCAAUUAUGCUAAAGAGAUCAUGAAAGUUGACAGUGAUGCAUGAUCCGUAUUCAUCGACUAUGAAACAAACUGUAAGUGUAUAAUUUGUAAAAACAA